CCACUUAUUCUCUUUUGUGAUCCUUGUUUGCUUUGCCUUACUCUUUUGAUUAUAUUGCGAUUAUAACAUCUUGAUAUCUAUUGAUUAUACACAAUUAUAUUGUGAUUAUAACAUCUUGGUUAUACACCCUCCGUUCAACCCUAAUGUGGCUGGCCCAGCUGAUCUGCGGCACUUCGACCCAGAGUUCACCCAGGAAGCGAUCUCUGCCUCCAUCACCCACACACCUGACUUAGCAGCCAGCAGCUCCAGUGCCUCAGAUGCUUUUUUAGGAUUUUCUUAUGCACCAACUGAAGAGGACUUCUAGAUUUUAUAAAGGCUUUGCGAAGCCAGGUUUUAACUGAAUGCAAUUUUAUGUUUGCUGUUAUUGCAGUGGCUUUUCUCGUUUCAGUUUUUGGAAGGAAUAGUAAUGUCACUUUCUUAUGGUCUAAACCAGGGGACUAAUACACUAACUGGUUGGGAUGGAACAGAGCUCUUAAUUUGUGCUGUUUGGUGGAUUUGCCUCUAAGUGGGUGUUCCUGUAGCAAGGAAAGUGAGACACUAAUAAUUAUCUCUGUACUAUUUGGUAGGGCUGUAUUCACCGUGGUUGUAUUUAUGACUAAGAUAUAUGUACCAUCACGCACAUCGCAGCCACAUCUCUGGAACAGGUCAUUUCUAUGGUGUGGAGCUACUGCUGCCUUGUAACAAAGGGAAACUUCACAGCACAGCAGUGGGAAGAUCGUGGGCUUCUUCCUUUUGAAGUAGGAUGCGCUCAUCUAAAUGGCUGGGAAAAGGACAAUCUGAUCCCAGGAGCAAGGCUGGAGUUCAAGCAGGGCAGUUCAGCAAGCCUUCUGCCCAGGGCCAAUAAAAAAGCUCGUAGCUGCAGGCGUUCCCCUGCUCCUGCCUGGAGGUGCUCGUUGCAUUUCAGUACUUCAGAGCAGAAAUGAGGAGGUCGAUGGACGCCGCUGAAGAAGCAGAGCCGCCUUGGUGGAAGGAGGGAGCGCUGCUGGUGGGAGGAAAGAGCAGCCUCGUGCUGGGCUCAGCAGCUGUCAGUCGCUGCUGGCAGGGCUGCGGAUCCUGUGCUCUCCUAAGGGCUGCUCCUCAGCAGCAACAGAAGCCUUGCGGUGCCCGCGUUGCUCUGGCGAUGGCUGUCGCGAUGUGCACACGAUCUUUGUUCUGCCUGAAUUUAAAUGCCGGUGUACUGCUUGA